UAGCUCAGUGGUAGAGCACUUCCCUGGCAUGAAUGAGGCACUGGGUUCAAACCCCAG
rnacentral:tRNA from 1 species